GCUUGCCAUCUUCCAUAUCCAUGCCUUAAGUUCAAAUAACAACAUUUAAGUAACAAAACAUAAAACUUCAAUAAACCAACUCAAAUGAGAGAAGCGAAUAUGGUCAAAUUGUCAACAAAAAAAAUUUAGCAGACCAGAUACCCCUUCCAGGAAUAAUUUCAAAAAGAAGGGCCAAACAAGACCUAGUUGUAAGACCUUAUCACUUUUACUGACCAAUAAAUAUCUGCAAAACCUAUCUUUCCUUCUUCCCAUGCAUAAUAGGCACCCUAAAUACCAUAUUGUUUCACUAUCAACAGCGAUGCAAUCCAGAAAAUCUCAUAUCAAUCAGCAAAAUUACAACAAAAAAACUUGAAUUUCCAAAAUGCUGGAACCAACAUAUCAAUCAGCUGGAACUUUUUAAAUAGUGAUGCACAGGAGGGUAAAUUGGGUCCCAGAAUAACUUACUGAAGGUGCAUCCGUAACAAGAUCUAGGCUAGAUGUAAUAAGUUCCUGACAACAAGAUAUAAUAUGCACGUACAAUCCACAAAACCUCCAAAGCACUGUCCCCUAAAAUUCCUUAUAAUACGGCCAAAACAAAGACGUAUCAAACAAAAUAUCAUGCAGUUACGUCAACUUUGCCAGUGCUACUAAUCCAUUUCUACUGGUUUAAGCUUGAGAAUGCCUGAUUUCCAAUCUAUAUAAAGGCAUCUAGAAUUCAUUAUCAAAGUCCAAAACUGGGUAUAAGCUAGGCAAAAUUAGCGUGGACCCAACUCCUUUUAAGUGCAGAGAUGCAUGCACACAAACCCCUCUC
rnacentral:misc_RNA from 1 species